rnacentral:rRNA from 1 species
UACGUAGGUGACAAGCGUUGUCCGGAUUUACUGGGCGUAAAGAGCGCGCAGGCGGUCGUUCAAGUCGAGUGUGAAAGCCCCCGGCUCAACUGGGGAGGGUCAUUCGAUACUGAUCGACUGGAAGGCAGGAGAGGGAAGCGGAAUUCCCGGUGUAGUGGUGAAAUGCGUAGAUAUCGGGAGGAACACCAGUGGCGAAGGCGGCUUCCUGGCCUGUUCUUGACGCUGAGGCGCGAAAGCUAGGGGAGCAAACGGG